rnacentral:tRNA from 1 species
GCGGGAAUGGCUCAGUGGUAGAGCGUUACCUUGCCAAGGUAAACGUCGCGAGUUCGAAUCUCGUUUCCCGCUCCA